rnacentral:RNase_P_RNA from 1 species
CGAGCAGGCCCGACGGUCGCGUCGGCGAAAGCCGCCGAGGAAAGUCCGGACUCCGCAGGGCAGGGUAGGGGGUAACACCCCUCCGCCGUGAGGCGAGGCCAGCGCCACAGUGACGAUCCCGCGCAAGCGGGGUGAAACGGGCAAGCGCUACCUGGAGCAAGGCUAUGUAAGGGGACAAUGGCGUGGCCCGCGCCGUCCCCGGGUGAGCCGCUAGAGGCGGGGGGCGACCUCCGCUCGAGAGGGAUGACCGUCCGCGACAGGAUCCGGCUUAGGGGUCUGCUCGGCUU